rnacentral:rRNA from 1 species
UACGGAGGGUGCAAGCGUUAAUCGGAAUUACUGGGCGUAAAGCGUGCGCAGGCGGUUUGUUAAGUCUGUUGUGAAAUCCCCGAGCUCAACUUGGGAAUUGCAAUGGAUACUGGCAGGCUGGAGUAUGGUAGAGGAAGGUGGAAUUCCCGGUGUAGCAGUGAAAUGCGUAGAGAUCGGGAGGAACACCAGUGGCGAAGGCGGCUUUCUGGACGACAACUGACGCUGAGACGCGAAAAGCGUGGGGGAGCAAACAGG